rnacentral:lncRNA from 1 species
AAUGGUAGAUUAUACUAGCCAUUUUUGGAGAAAAAAGUAAUAAAUGCCCCCAAUUCAAAAAGAUGAAAAUGGGAUUGGAUCCCAUACCUGUUUCCCCAUUUUUAAGAGUUGUUCCCAUGAAUUACUUCCUUAGCAUCUUUGCAAUCAGGUAUAUGCAUUACAAAAAACCCAUGAAUUACUUCCUUAGCAUCUUUGCAAUCAGGUAUAUGCAUUACAAAAAACCAAGUUUUUUAAAGUAUUUCUUCCUAGUAUUAGUCCUCUCAGUAAGUAAUAAGCAAGAUAUCAGGAUAUAAAGCAGUCAAAGUUACCUGUCUCGAACCAAAUAACAUGGGGAAGUAAGUCAUUCAUCAUCAAUUGAAUAUUCUUUGUCACAUAGGUCAGCUUGCAUUUUCCUACAGUUAAUAGAAACCAAACAAUAUUUCAGUUUAUUGAUUUCAUAAAAGAGGUUAAAAAGAUAACAUUAAACACUAAGUGAGCACAAAAUUAAGAUUCCUAUAAGAUAUGAAUAAUGGAUUUGAAUAAAAAUUCAAAAACUUGGUUCAGGAAUUUUAUCGAACAGUUGGCAUGCAUCAUCAAAUUUACUUUCAAACCUCAAAACUAACUGGGUGGGUAUAGUUGAAUUGUAUUCUUGAGGUACGAUGGAGGUGACUCAGGUACGUUGAACAGACGCCCAUAUUCCCUUCACAAUAAUAAUUGGGUGUUCAGAUUAUUACUACUUUGUACAUAUUGAUAAUUGUUGUAUGUUGCGCUUAAUCAAUAAGAAAAUAUGUUUCAGACAUCACUUUAGAAUGCCUGGUAGAGAAAUUUAAAUCAAUUUAUAAAGAUUUAAACAAACGUACCUUCAAGCAUCACCUUAUCUGAAGUAACUCUACAAACAUGAAUCGGUAUUGAUGAAGCAAUCGAUGGCAGAAUAAAAGAAGAUUAAUCAAUUUCAAAUUUUAUACCUUGUUAAUAUCUUGGUCAAAAUAAAUGGAAGCCAAUCGAUUUUAAGGGGAAAAGAGAAGCAGUUGGCAAGGCAAAUGGGAUGAUUGAUUUUAUACCUUGUAUAGUGUAUGUCGUCUCCUCCUUUCUAAGGACCACAUAGCAACACGCAACAACGGAAAAGCUAAACAUGGGUGGGGAAUGCACCUAUUGUCGGUGGGAAUUAGAAUUGCUUUUCCUUCCCGUGGGGAUUAACGCUUCCCAAUGACGAAGUUGGAAAAGGAGUAGGAUAGAGUGAAGGCGGUGUCAGAAGAGCCAUGAUUAACUUCAUCUGCA